rnacentral:misc_RNA from 1 species
GUAUUGAUUGCGUGUGACCGCAAAAAUAACAUUCUACACUGUAUCAAGUUUUGUGUGAAAACGUGAGCCCUCCUGCAAAGGGGACCCACGCGGUGAUGCACAAGGGGUGAAAUGGAUGUGUGAGAGUGCUCGGGCGUGCACGACCUUUAAAAAGGUCAGCGACAGCCCGGGCACCUCCGUUGUAUGAUAAUGAUCCUUCCGCAGGUUCACCUACGGAAA